UACGUAGGGGGCAAGCGUUGUCCGGAUUUAUUGGGCGUAAAGAGCGUGUAGGCGGCUAGGUAGGUCCGUUGUGAAAACUCGAGGCUCAACCUCGAGACGUCGAUGGAAACCAUCUGGCUAGAGUCCGGAAGAGGAGAGUGGAAUUCCUGGUGUAGCGGUGAAAUGCGUAGAUAUCGGGAGGAACAUCAGUGGCGAAGGCGGCCCUCUGGUCCAGUACUGACACUCAAGUGCGAAAGCGUGGGGAGCAAACAGG
rnacentral:rRNA from 1 species